UACGUAGGGGGCAAGCGUUGUCCGGAAUCAUUGGGCGUAAAGAGCGUGUAGGCGGCCAGAUAAGUCCGCUGUGAAAUCUCGAGGCUCAACUUCGAGCUGUCGGUGGAAACUGUCUGGCUAGAGUCCGGAAGAGGAGAAUGGAAUUCCUGGUGUAGCGGUGAAAUGCGCAGAUAUCAGGAAGAACACCCGUGGCGAAGGCGGUUCUCUGGGACGGUACUGACGCUGAGACGCGAAAGCGUGGGGAGUGAACAGG
rnacentral:rRNA from 1 species